CAGUCGCCGCGGGAAUACGAAGGGGGCUAGCGUUGCUCGGAAUUACUGGGCGUAAAGGGAGCGUAGGCGGACAUUUAAGUCAGGGGUGAAAUCCCAGAGCUCAACUCUGGAACUGCCUUUGAUACUGGGUGUCUUGAGUGUGAUAGAGGUAUGUGGAACUCCGAGUGUAGAGGUGAAAUUCGUAGAUAUUCGGAAGAACACAAGUGGCGAAGGCGACAUACUGGAUCAUUACUGACGCUGAGGCUCGAAAGCGUGGGGAGCAAACAGGAUUAGAUACCCCAGUAGUCCCUGUCUCUUAUAA
rnacentral:rRNA from 1 species